rnacentral:rRNA from 1 species
UACGGAGGGUGCGAGCGUUGUCCGGAAUCACGGGGCGUAAAGGGCGCGUAGGCGGCUUGGGAAGUCCGUGGUGAAAGCUCGUGGCUCAACUGCGAGUCGGCCAUGGAUACUCCUAAGCUCGAGCACUGUAGAGGCAGGUGGAAUUCCGGGUGUAGCGGUGGAAUGCGUAGAGAUCCGGAAGAACACCGGUGGCGAAGGCGGCCUGCUGGGCAGUAGCUGACGCUGAGGCGCGACAGCGUGGGGAGCAAACAGG